UCAUCAGCUCGCGUUGACUACGUCCCUGCCCUUUGUACACACCGCCCGUCGCUCCUACCGAUUGAAUGAUCCGGUGAAGUGUUCGGAUCGCGCGCGACGUGGGCGUUCGCUGCCCGCGACGUCGCGAAAAGUCCACUGAACCUUAUCAUUUAGAGAAGGAGAAAUCGUAACAAGUUUCGUAGGUGAACCUGGAAGGAUCAUUG
rnacentral:ncRNA from 1 species